ACCACGGAAGAAGCCUUUAUUUCUCCAGCUGGCCUCCUCAGGGCAACCCACGUCCACGACACAAAGCGUUUGGGCAAUGUGUGAUGGAGUUGAUAUGAGGAAUGAUAACAGACAUCAGCCCAGAUUCUGAACUUGAAGGGCAGAUGCUGCCAGGCCCUUCCAACUCUGACUACUUUCUGAAAAGCCAUUGCUGGACCAGGGGAACAUCCCAUCUUGCUACCCUAAACAAGAACUUCAGUCACGCUGUUAUGCAGGUCAAGAAGAGACAAGGCCAUGUAAACCUUCCUGGGCCUGGAAGAAACCACUGGGGCCUGACAAGCCUUAAAAACAGAGCUGCACUUACAUGUUUGGAUCAGGCACAUCGACCCUUAACAGCAUCAGCUGGUCCCCCCUGCACCACAAAAGGUGCAUAGCAAGUGCAUUGGGACCUAGAAAGGCAUUAUGACCAAAGACUAGUGUGACUACAGCAAUUACCAGUUCAGCAAAUAAGCUUCUCAUUGCAAGCAUCGCUGAGGCUAUACACGCGCCAAGAAGAACCCAGAAUCACUGUGUCAGCAGUUCUCAAAGACUAUUUUAAAUGCUAUCAAGUUUAAUAAAACUUUUACA